rnacentral:ribozyme from 1 species
UUCUUCAUUUGAUGGAAAUGGAAACAUGUCUGCAAGGUCAAUAAGUCCCG